GUCCACGCCCUAACGAUGUCAACUAGGUGUUGGGUGGGUAAACCAUUUAGUACCGGAGCUAACGCGUGAAGUUGACCGCCUGGGAGUACGGCCGCAAGGUUAAACUCAAAGGAAUUGACGGGACCCGCACAAGCGGUGGAUGAUGUGGAUUAAUUCGAUGCAACGCGAAACCUUACCUACCCUUGACAUGUCCAGAAGCCUGAAGAGAUUUGGGUGUGCCCGAAAGGGAACUGGAACACAGGUGCUGCAUGGCUGUCGU
rnacentral:rRNA from 1 species